CCUACGGGCGGCAGCAGUAGGGAAUAUUGCUCAAUGGGGGAAACCCUGAAGCAGCAACGCCGCGUGGAGGAUGAAGGUUUUCGGAUUGUAAACUCCUUUUGUUAUAGAAGAUAAUGACAGUAUCUAACGAAUAAGCACCGGCUAACUCCGUGCCAGCAGCCGCGGUAAUACGGCGGGUGCAAGCGUUACUCGGAAUCACUGGGCGUAAGGAGCGCGUAGGCGGGAUAGCAAGUCAGAUGUGAAAUCCUAUGGCUUAACCAUAGAACUGCAUUUGAAACUGUUAUUCUAGAGUAUGGGAGAGGUAGGUGGAAUUCUUGGUGUAGGGGUAAAAUCCGUAGAGAUCAAGAGGAAUACUCAUUGCGAAGGCGACCUGCUAGAACAUAACUGACGCUGAUGCGCGAAAGCGUGGGUAGCAAACAGGAUUAGAUACCCGGGUAGUC
rnacentral:rRNA from 1 species